rnacentral:rRNA from 1 species
GCCCGAGGGGGUAGUAGGUGAGUGAUGGGGUGACGCAGGAGGGUAGCUCAGCCCAGGCGAUGGUUGUCCUGGGGUAAGCAUGUAGCCCGGUGUGCAGGUAAAUCCGUGCGCCGUUGAGGGUGAGAUGUGAUGCCGAGCCGUUUUAGGUGAAGUGAGUGAUCCCAUGCUGUCGAGAAAAGCCUCUAGCGAGUGUAUCGGCGGCCCGUACCCUAAACCGACUCAGGUGGUCAGGUAGAGAAUACCGAGGCGAUCGGGUGAACUGUGGUUAAGGAACUCGGCAAAUUGCCCCCGUAACUUUGGGAGAAGGGGGACCACGCCUGGUGAACGCCCUUGCGGUGGGAGCUGGGUGGGGUCGCAGAGGCCAGGGGGAAGCGACUGUUUACUAAAAACACAGGUCCGUGCGAAGUCGUAAGACGCGGUAUACGGACUGACGCCUGCCCGGUGCCGGAACGUUAAGAGGACCGGUUAGAUCCCUUUUGGGGGUCGAAGCUGAGAAUCUAAGCGCCGGUAAACGGCGGUGGUAACUAUAACCAUCCUAAGGUAGCGAAAUUCCUUGUCGGGUAAGUUCCGACCUGCACGAAUGGCGUAACGACUUCCCCGCUGUCUCAACCACAGGCCCGGCGAAAUUGCAGUACGAGUAAAGAUGCUCGUUUCGCGCAGCAGGACGGAAAGACCCCGGGACCUUCACUAUAGCUUGGCAUUGGCGCUUGGAGCGUCUUGUGUAGGAUAGGUGGGAGACUGUGAAGCCGGCACGCCAGUGCCGGUGGAGUCGCUGGUGAAAUACCACUCUGGUCGUUUUGAGCGUCUAACCCGCACCCGUGGAUCCGGGUGGGGGACAGUGCCUGGUGGGUAGUUUAACUGGGGCGGUUGCCUCCUAAAGUGUAACGGAGGCGCCCAAAGGUUCCCUCAGCCUGGUUGGCAAUCAGGUGGCGAGUGCAAGGGCACAAGGGAGCUUGACUGUGAGACGGACGUGUCGAGCAGGUGCGAAAGCAGGGCCUAGUGAUCCGGCACCUACGUGUGGAAGUGGUGUCGCUCAACGGCUAAAAGGUACCCCGGGGAUAACAGGCUGAUCUUCCCCAAGAGUCCAUAUCGACGGGAUGGUUUGGCACCUCGAUGUCGGCUCG